AAGUCGUAACAAGGUUUCCGUAGGUGAACCUGCGGAAGGAUCAUUACCGAGUGUAGGGUUCCUAGCGAGCCCAACCUCCCACCCGUGUUUACUGUACCUUAGUUGCUUCGGCGGGCCCGCCAUUCAUGGUCGCCGGGGGCUCUCAGCCCCGGGCCCGCGCCCGCCGGAGACACCACGAACUCUGUCUGAUCUAGUGAAGUCUGAGUUGAUUGUAUCGCAAUCAGUUAAAACUUUCAACAAUGGAUCUCUUGGUUCCGGCAUCGAUGAAGAACGCAGCGAAAUGCGAUAACUAGUGUGAAUUGCAGAAUUCCGUGAAUCAUCGAGUCUUUGAACGCACAUUGCGCCCCCUGGUAUUCCGGGGGGCAUGCCUGUCCGAGCGUCAUUGCUGCCCAUCAAGCACGGCUUGUGUGUUGGGUCGUCGUCCCCUCUCCGGGGGGGACGGGCCCCAAAGGCAGCGGCGGCACCGCGUCCGAUCCUCGAGCGUAUGGGGCUUUGUCACCCGCUCUGUAGGCCCGGCCGGCGCUUGCCGAACGCACAUCAAUCUUUUCCAGGUGACCUCGAUCAGUAG
rnacentral:rRNA from 1 species